rnacentral:lncRNA from 1 species
AUAUUGAUGCCUAAGAAGAACUGUAUUGCUAUCUAUGAACUCAAUUUUAAGGAAGCAGUGAUGGUUGACAAGAAAGUUGUCCAUAUGUCCAUAUGCCCAAACACUCUGAGCUGGCAGACAAGAAGGUGCCCAACCUUCAUGUGAUGAAGGCCAUGCAAUCUCUCAAGUCCUGAGACUACAUGAAGGAGCUGUUUUCCUGGAGACAUUUCUAUUGGUACCUUCGGAAGGAGGACAUGCAGUGUCUCAGACAUUACCCUAACCUACUUCCAGGGAUUGUGCCUGCCCUUAUGUUGCAGGCAUUGUGAGACUGGCAGGCCUUGUUCCAAAGGUCCAGAGGGAGAGUGAUCUACAAGCUCCACACAAGAGGCAGACAGACACCUACAGAAGGAGGGCUGUUCUCAUGGUGCUGGCAAGAAAGAUGAGCGUAGGGCUGAGUUAGCAAUCCACUCCCACUUUAGGGGCAGCUAUGGUUGUAGCUUAGGUCAGCCACUUCAGUGA